ACGGCUCAGUAACACGUCGAUAAUCUAACCUUAGGUUUGGGAUAACCCUGGGAAACUGGGGCUAACACCAAAUAGGGGAAUUCUUCUGGAAUGAUUUUUCCCUUAAAAGCAAUGCCUAAGGAUGAGUUGGCGGUGGAUUAGGUUGUUGGUGAGGUAAAGGCUCACCAAGCCGAAGAUCCGUAGGGGCCUUGAGAGAGGUAGCCCCGAGAAGGACACUGAGAUACUGGUCCUAGCCCUACGGGGUGCAGCAGGCGCGAAACCUUUACAAUGCACGCAAGUGUGAUAAGGGAAUCCCGAGUGCUUUGCUUUUUAGUAAGGCUUUUGCCAAGAGUAAAGAUCUUGGCGAAUAAAUGGUGGGCAAGACUGGUGCCAGCAGCCGCGGUAACACCAGCGCCAUGAGUGGCAAUCAUCAUUAUUGGGCCUAAAGCGUCCGUAGCCUGUUUAAUCAGUCUUUUGUGAAAUCGUUUGGCUUAACCUAACGGUGUGCAAAAGGUACAGUUAAACUUGGAACCGGGAGGAGUCAGAGGUAUUCUAAGGGGAGCGGUAAAAUGCUAUAAUCCUUAGAGGACCACCUGUGGCGAAGGCAUCUGACUAGAACGGAUUCGACGGUGAGGGACGAAAGCCAGGGGAACAAACCGGAUUAGAUACCCGGGUAGUCCUGGCUGUAAACUCUGCGAGCUAGGUGUCGCAUAUUCUCCGUGAAUGUGCGGUGUCGAAAUGAAGAUGUUAAGCUCGCCGCCUGGGAAGUAUGGUCGCAAGGCUGAAACUUAAAGGAAUUGGCGGGGGAGCACA
rnacentral:rRNA from 1 species